GUAGGCAAAGGAUCAGUUCUAAGCAAUGGUCUUGGCAGUGGUGCUGGUCAUGGUGGUGAAGGCGGGUAUGGGUAUUAUAAUGGAAGCUGCAUUGGGGGUGGCAUCACAUAUGAAGAUCUCAAUUUGCCAUGUGAACCCGGCAGUGGAAGUGGGAAUAGUAGCCUAGCUGGAUCAACUGCUGGUGGUGGUGUUUUGGUAAUGGGUUCGUGGGAGCAUCCCCUGAUGUAUUCUAUUGUUUUUGAAAUCACUCCAUCUUGGUGAAUCUGGCACCAUGUCAAGUCUUGGAGGUAGUAGCAGUUCCAGUGGUGGUGGUGGUGGAGGUGGAGGUGGUGGACGAAUACACUUUCACUGGUCGGACAUUCCUACUGGAGAUGUGUAUCAGCCAAUAGCAACUGUCAAUGGGAGCAUCCAUACAAGGUUUGUGCAGUUAUGGAUCAACAUAUUGCUAAUAAUUUUAUUUUCACAAGUUGCACAAUUGUUGAGUAGCGUACCUUGGGGUAUAGCUUGUGCAGCCAUCUUAGUGCAUCUUGUUCUAGUCUAGUUACUGUACUAUAGAAAUUGCUGAAUUAAACAGGUCCAUCGUUCUGUGCUCUAGCCUGCUGGUAAU
rnacentral:lncRNA from 1 species